UGCCUUUAAGAAAAUGCUUCUGCUUCAUGACUGGAAGUAGCAGAGUUUCAAGCUUUUAUCAGCAUUAGAAUGAGUGAAAGGCAAAUAUUCACCUGGAGUUCUUGACACAGACUUGAAAUCACCAUGGAUCUGAAGGUUUACACAGACAAGGAUGGGUGUAUCCGGUGGGCAGUAAUCUUGAGGAUCUUGAGGACCAGUAUUUAGCAUUAGACCAACCUCCAACAACUGGCCAUUCGGCACCGGCACCGGACAACCAGUUACGACUUUUGAUCUUCAAGCCAGCAGUCUGAAGAAGAUGCAUGAAUCUGUCAUCAGCCAGCAUGUCAUAGAAAUAAGGACAAUGACAGUAGCUUAUCUCAACAACCUAUUGAUUUCUGUUAUUUCCUGUUAUUGAAAGUUGAGCCUUUCUACUGAGGUGUCUUAAAAAGAUUCCAGUUUCAAAUAACUGCAUUACUGCAUUUUUUUUGUUGUUGUUGUUAAAAAAAAGUCGAGCCUCCUGGAGUCAAUAUAAAAAUUAAGCAAAGGAGAAUAUGAUGAUUACAGUUCAUUUUGACAGUGUUGGGUGAAUAAAAGGAAAAUUGGCUUCAAAUAACAGCGUCAACGAAUGACCUGUGCGGAUGACACACGCGCGGACACACACGGACACACACGGUUGGAUGCGUGUGUACGUACUCAAGGAGGCCUCUACAUAGCAUUCAGCAUAAAAGUGCUUAUUGGGGGAUGUUUCUGCCGACACUGGGGUUGGUCGCUUCUUAUCUCUCUGCUCAGAUAACGCUGAGCAUACAGGAAAUCAGCCCAAGGAGUAAGCUCGUUUUCUGCUGUCACAGCGAGACUGUGCAUGGCUCCAGGCCUGGUGCCACACACCUGUGCUCUCAGCACUUGGGAAGCUGAGACAGGAGGAUUUGGGGGCUGGAGGCCAACUCAGAACACACAGUGAGACCCUGUCUCAAUGAAGUGGCGGAAUGUGUGGAGAGGGUCCUGGGUUUGAUCUGCGCACUGGGGGAGAAACUGCCUGUUCUUCCUCUGAACUGCUUGCCUCCCGACAUGCCGAGCUGCAGCUCUGAGGAUUUUUAUCUGGCUCUCGUUGCUUCAGGACCGCUGUGCACAAGCUCCGGGCAUUCCUUCCUCCGUGCUUUGUUAGUUGUCGUCCCAGAA